rnacentral:rRNA from 1 species
GUGCAGCAGGCGCGAAACCUCCGCAAUGCGGGAAACCGUGACGGGGUCACCCCGAGUGCCACCCGAUGAGGGUGGCUUUUCCCCGGUCUAAAAAGCCGGGGGCAAUAAGCGGGGGGCAAGUCUGGUGUCAGCCGCCGCGGUAAUACCAGCCCCGCGAGUGGUCGGGACGUUUAUUGGGCCUAAAAGCGUCCGUAGCCGGCUCGGUAAGUCCCUCCUUAAAAUCCACGGGCUCAAACCCGUGGGCUGGGAGGGAUACUGCCGGGCUAGGGGGCGGGAGAGGCCGAGGGUACUCCCGGGGUAGGGGCGAAAAUCCGUUAAUCCCGGGAGGACCACCAGUGGCGAAAGGCGCUCGGCUGGAACGCGCCCGACGGUGAGGGACGAAAAGCUAGGGGAGCAAAAGGGGAUUAGAUACCCCGGUAGU